rnacentral:rRNA from 1 species
UACGAAGGGGGCUAGCGUUGCUCGGAAUCACUGGGCGUAAAGCGCACGUAGGCGGAUUGUUAAGUCAGGGGUGAAAUCCUGGAGCUCAACUCCAGAACUGCCUUUGAUACUGGCGAUCUUGAGUCCGGGAGAGGUGAGUGGAACUGCGAGUGUAGAGGUGAAAUUCGUAGAUAUUCGCAAGAACACCAGUGGCGAAGGCGGCUCGACUGGCCC